rnacentral:rRNA from 1 species
GAUGAACGCUGGCGGCGUGCCUAAUACAUGCAAGUCGAGCGAACGGACGAGAAGCUUGCUUCUCUGAUGUUAGCGGCGGACGGGUGAGUAACACGUGGAUAACCUACCUAUAGGACUGGGAUAACUUCGGGAAACCGGAGCUAAUACCGGAUAAUAUUAUGAACCGCAUGGUUCAAAAGUGAAAGACGGUCUUGCUGUCACUUAUAGAUGGAUCCGCGCUGCAUUAGCUAGUUGGUAAGGUAACGGCUUACCAAGGCAACGAUGCAUAGCCGACCUGAGAGGGUGAUCGGCCACACUGGAACUGAGACACGGUCCAGACUCCUACGGGAGGCAGCAGUAGGGAAUCGUCCGCAAUGGGCGAAAGCCUGACGGAGCAACGCCGCGUGAGUGAUGAAGGUCUUCGGAUCGUAAAACUCUGUUAUUAGGGAAGAACAUAUGUGUAAGUAACUGUGCACAUCUUGACGGUACCUAAUCAGAAAGCCACGGCUAACUACGUG